rnacentral:rRNA from 1 species
GACGAACGCUGGCGGCGUGCCUAAUACAUGCAAGUUGAGCGAUGAAGCUUGGUGCUUGCACCAAUUUGAAGAGCAGCGAACGGGUGAGUAACGCGUGGGGAAUCUGCCUUUGAUCGGGGGACCACAUUUGGAAACGGAUGCUAAUACCGCAUAACAUCUUUAAACAUAAGUUUUAAGUUUGAAAGAUGCAAUUGCAUCACUCAAAGAUGAUCCCGCGUUGUAUUAGCUAGUUGGUGGGGUAAAGGCGCACCAAGGCGAGGAUACAUAGCCGAACUGAGAGGGUGAUCGGCCACAUUGGGACUGAGACACGGCCCAAACGCCUACGGGAGGCAGCAGUAGGGAAUCGUCGGCAAUGGGCGAAAGUCUGACCGAGCAACGCCGCGUGAGUGAAGAAGGUUUUCGGAUCGUAAAACUCUGUUGGUAGAGAAGAACGUUGGUGAGAGUGGAAAGCUCAUCAAGUGACGGUAACUACCCAGAAAGGGACGGCUAACUACGUG